UCAUGGAAGACGCAUCAGGCCUGAUCACCAAACAUGCGACUGAUGUGCUGUUAGAUGGAAGAGCUGAAACUUUGGGUGACUGAUGGAUAAUUCAAAAGUAUUUUGAUAGACUGCCAUCAGAGCCUGUUCUAAUGGGAUGGAAUUUAAAAGGUCCCAGGAUUUCAGCAUUUACACAACUGUUGCUUGAUCAAUACCAGCUCUGAAAAAUUAUCUGUUGAACUCAUUGACAAGGUCUUCUUUUUACAUAUCAGAAAGAAGGCUGCAGAGCCACCAAACUGCCAAACUCAGUUACUGGGUUACUGAUGCCAGCCUAUGACUGUCUUUGAAACAAUGCAAGAGGAAGAAAUCAAGAUCCGAACACCUUUGGUCCUCAUCACUGACUCCUGACUGUGAGCCCUCAUCUUGUCUAAGCCCCUGGUCUCCUCAUGAGUGGGGGUACAGUUCUUGAGGCAUGAACACAGUAGUGUUCAACUUUCUGCUGACUGUGACUUAAAUUACCUUUCUAUUUCCUCCAAACUCUGUCUCCAUGUUUUUUAAUUCAUCUUCGGUGGUCAGGGAAACCCAAAAUUUUAGCCAGCAAAAAUUUAAGGUCUUACGUUUAGGUCUGUGAUCCAUUUUGAGUUGACUUUUGUGUAUUGUGUAAGACAAAGAUCCAAUUUCACUAUUUCACAUGUGAAUAUCCAGUUUUCUCAAUAUCAUUUGCUGAGGAGACUAUCUUUUCCCCAUUGUGUACUACUGGUGCCUUUGUUGAAUAUUAGUUACCAUAUGUAUACAUUUAUUACUGGGCUUUCUAUUCUAUUGAUCUACGAGUCUGUUUUUUAAUGUGUAUCAUACUGUUCUUAUAACUAUACAUUUGUAACAUGAUUUGAAACCAGAAAGUGUCAGUCUUGUUCUUCUUUCUCAAGAUUAUUUUGGCUUUUCACAAUUUUUGUGGUUUCAUAUGAAUUCUAGGAUUAUUUUUUUAAUUUCAGUGAAAAAUGCUAUUGAAAUUUUGAUAGAGAUUUCAUUGAAUCUAUAUAGAUUGCUUUGGACAG